rnacentral:rRNA from 1 species
UUUAUGGAGAGUUUGAUCCUGGCUCAGGAUGAACGCUGGCGGCGUGCCUAAUACAUGCAAGUCGAGCGAACGGACGAGAAGCUUGCUUCUCUGAUGUUAGCGGCGGACGGGUGAGUAACACGUGGAUAACCUACCUAUAAGACUGGGAUAACUUCGGGAAACCGGAGCUAAUACCAGAUAAUAUUUUGAACCGCAUGGUUCAAAAGUGAAAGACGGUCUUGCUGUCACUUAUAGAUGGAUCCGCGCUGCAUUAGCUAGUUGGUAAGGUAACGGCUUACCAAGGCAACGAUGCAUAGCCGACCUGAGAGGGUGAUCGGCCACACUGGAACUGAGACACGGUCCAGACUCCUACGGGAGGCAGCAGUAGGGAAUCUUCCGCAAUGGGCGAAAGCCUGACGGAGCAACGCCGCGUGAGUGAUGAAGGUCUUCGGAUCGUAAAACUCUGUUAUUAGGGAAGAACAUAUGUGUAAGUAACUGUGCACAUCUUGACGGUACCUAAUCAGAAAGCCACGGCUAACUACGUGCCAGCAGCCGCGGUAAUACGUAGGUGGCAAGCGUUAUCCGGAAUUAUUGGGCGUAAAGCGCGCGUAGGCGGUUUUUUAAGUCUGAUGUGAAAGCCCACGGCUCAACCGUGGAGGGUCAUUGGAAACUGGAAAACUUGAGUGCAGAAGAGGAAAGUGGAAUUCCAUGUGUAGCGGUGAAAUGCGCAGAGAUAUGGAGGAACACCAGUGGCGAAGGCGACUUUCUGGUCUGUAACUGACGCUGAUGUGCGAAAGCGUGGGGAUCAAACAGGAUUAGAUACCCUGGUAGUCCACGCCGUAAACGAUGAG